rnacentral:rRNA from 1 species
AUUGAACGCUGGCGGCAUGCCUUACACAUGCAAGUCGAACGGCAGCACGGGUGCCUGCACCUGGUGGCGAGUGGCGAACGGGUGAGUAAUACAUCGGAACAUGUCCUGUAGUGGGGGAUAGCCCGGCGAAAGCCGGAUUAAUACCGCAUACGAUCUACGGAUGAAAGCGGGGGACCUUCGGGCCUCGCGCUAUAGGGUUGGCCGAUGGCUGAUUAGCUAGUUGGUGGGGUAAAGGCCUACCAAGGCGACGAUCAGUAGCUGGUCUGAGAGGACGACCAGCCACACUGGGACUGAGACACGGCCCAGACUCCUACGGGAGGCAGCAGUGGGGAAUUUUGGACAAUGGGCGAAAGCCUGAUCCAGCAAUGCCGCGUGUGUGAAGAAGGCCUUCGGGUUGUAAAGCACUUUUGUCCGGAAAGAAAUCCUUGGCUCUAAUACAGUCGGGGGAUGACGGUACCGGAAGAAUAAGCACCGGCUAACUACGUG